rnacentral:rRNA from 1 species
GACGAACGCUGGCGGCGUGCUUAACACAUGCCAGUCGAACGGAAAGGCCCUGCUUUUGUGGGGUGCUCGAGUGGCGAACGGGUGAGUGACACGUGAGUAACCUGCCCUUGACUUUGGGAUAACUUCAGGAAACUGGGGCUAAUACCGGAUAGGAGCUCCUGCUGCAUGGUGGGGGUUGGAAAGUUUCGGCGGUUGGGGACGGACUCGCGGCUUAUCAGCUUGUUGGUGGGGUAGUGGCUUACCAAGGCUUUGACGGGUAGCCGGCCUGAGAGGGUGACCGGCCACAUUGGGACUGAGAUACGGCCCAGACUCCUACGGGAGGCAGCAGUGGGGAAUAUUGCACAAUGGGCGGAAGCCUGAUGCAGCAACGCCGCGUGCGGGAUGACGGCCUUCGGGUUGUAAACCGCUUUCGCCUGUGACGAAGCGUGAGUGACGGUAAUGGGUAAAGAAGCACCGGCUAACUACGUG